AGAAAGUGAGAUCAGGGUGACAUCACAGGCCAGUGAAAACUCUACAUCUGGCUUACACACAAUGUCUUCAUCUUCGAGAUAUGUAUGUUCAAAGCAAGUCUCCCUUUGUUAAGCUACUUCCACAUGGAUUUUGGGCCUGCAUCUUGACCACAUUUCAAUCAGAGUCAUGCACAGCACAGUGUUGAGCAGUGCAGAGGACUGAAUUGAGCUACCCAAGCAGCAGACACCUGAUUGACUGCUGUGU